rnacentral:rRNA from 1 species
AGAGCAAAUAGCAGCUGUCAGUUGAUCAUGUACGCGCAGUGGUGAUUUGCNUAAGUUGUCUGCUAGACGACGUGCGCGGCUACACAUGCAGUGAGCAGAGNUGUUACAGCGCGACGGUAGUACACGUGGCACUGCCUCAGCACUGGAUACCCGGGAACCGGGCUAUACCGAUACGACCUCCGCGACAUCCGCGUUGGUAGAAGCUCCGACGGCUGAGGAUGGGCCCGCGGCCUAUCAGCUUGUUGGUGGGGUAAUGGCCCACCAAGGCGACGACGGGUAGCCGGCCUGAGAGGGCGAUCGGCCACACUGGGACUGAGACACGGCCCAGACUCCUACGGGAGGCAGCAGUCGGGAAUUUUGGGCAAUUGGCGAAAGCCUGACCCAGCAACGCCGCGUGAAGGACGAAGUCUUUCGGGAUGUAAACUUCGUAAGAAUAGGAAGAAUAAAUGACGGUACUAUUUGUAAGGUCCGGCUAACUACGUGCCAGCAGCCGCGGUAAUACGUAGGGACCAAGCGUUGUUCGGAUUUACUGGGCGUAAAGGGCGCGUAGGCGGCAAUUCAAGUCAGUUGUGAAAUCUCCGGGCUUAACUCGGAACGGUCAACUGAUACUGCUUUGCUAGAGUACAGAAGGGGCAAUCGGAAUUCUUGGUGUAGCGGUGAAAUGCGUAGAUAUCAAGAGGAACACCUGAGGUGAAGACGGGUUGCUGGGCUGAUACUGACGCUGAGGCGCGACAGCUAGGGUAGCAAACGGGAUUAGAUACCCUGGUAGUC